AGUGAACGCUGGCGGUAGGCCUAACACAUGCAAGUCGAACGGCAGCACAGUAAGAGCUUGCUCUUACGGGUGGCGAGUGGCGGACGGGUGAGGAAUACAUCGGAAUCUACUUUUUCGUGGGGGAUAACGUAGGGAAACUUGCGCUAAUACCGCAUACGACCUACGGGUGAAAGCAGGGGAUCUUCGGACCUUGCGCGAUUGAAUGAGCCGAUGUCGGAUUAGCUAGUUGGCGGGGUAGAGGCCCACCAAGGCGACGAUCCGUAGCUGGUCUGAGAGGAUGACUGGAAAAAGGGGGAAAGAGAGACGGCCCAGACGCGGAAGGGAGGAAGAGGGGGGGAAGAUGGAAAAAGGGGCGGAAGAAUGAUGCAGCAACGAGGCGUACGGGAGGACGGCCUGAGGGUGGUAAAACGCUUACGACUGUGAAGAAGCGUGAGAGAAGGUAAUGGAUAAAGAAGAACAGGCUAACUACGUG
rnacentral:rRNA from 1 species